rnacentral:tRNA from 1 species
ACCUGUAGCGCAAUGGAUAGCGCGUUGGACUUUUAAUCCAAAGGUCGUGGAUUUGAAUCCCACCUGGGAUG